rnacentral:rRNA from 1 species
UAAAGCGUGCGCAGGCGGUUAUAUAAGACAGAUGUGAAAUCCCCGGGCUCAACCUGGGAACUGCAUUUGUGACUGUAUAGCUGGAGUGCGGCAGAGGGGGAUGGAAUUCCGCGUGUAGCAGUGAAAUGCGUAGAUAUGCGGAGGAACACCGAUGGCGAAGGCAAUCCCCUGGGCCUGCACUGACGCUCAUGCACGAAAGCGUGGGGAGCAAACAGGAUUAGUACCCGUGU